GCCCUCGUAGCUCAGGGGAAGAGCGACCGCCUCCUAAGCGGUAGGUCGAAGGUUCGAAUCCUUUCGGGGGCACUA
rnacentral:tRNA from 2 species